CGAUUCCGGUGGCAGCAUGUGGUGAUGAUAGUGGUGAAUCUGAUGACUCUAAGGAAGAGGAGGCGGAACAAGAUGAUGUGAGGGACGAGCAACAGGCCCAUGAGAAAAUUGCAGCAGCUGCAGCGCCAUCUGGGAUUGUAGCACCAUCUUGGGUUGCUUGGGUUACCCGAUUCAUAGCUUUGGAGCAGGAGGUGGCUGGAAUGCGUACUUAAGUCGCUUAAUUAGGUACACGGGUUGAUGGGUCGUUGCCCAGCGGGUGAAAUCAGAGAAGAAAAUAUUGGGCUGGUUGAGAGCUCCGGGUCGUGCUUGCAAUCUGAACCCAGGCACAACUCCGAUCAAGAGUGAUCAUUUAAGGAUGUUCCCUUACCUCAUUGUUCUUUAUUUUGUAUACCAUGAGUACAUAUCUUCCUUUUAUGUGUGGG
rnacentral:lncRNA from 1 species